UCCUUCCCCUGAAUUCAGACACAGCAAAUGUUCUGAUCCCAUAGGAGCGCUAUCUGCGCUAAUUUUGAAAUAACGCACCACGUGAUUACGUUGCGCAGCUUAGUCACGUGGCCGCACAGCAAAAAAAAUCGCUGCAGAGCUGGGUAAAGGGGGCGGAGCAAAGUGCGUGUGCAGGAGAGGAGUCGAGCAGAGACAGCUGCUUUUUCGUGAAACGGGAGUAAAGUAGUAAGCUUACAGGAACAUAUACAACUACCUACUUUUCAAUCGAUACCUGCAUCGAUCUGCCCACCGUUGUCUCUUGGAUUGUAGCUUAAUCACAGAGUUCUCUCGUUUGUGAGCUCAUCUAAAGUUCUCAUCACGCUGAUUGAUGUCCAAGGGGUCUCCUCUCCCAUAAGUCUGAUUCUAAUUCCUACCGCGGUGAUGUUAAAUUGGGGUGAAACGUCAUCAUUACAGCUUUGACUGGCAGCUGCAGUCACGGAGAAACUUGCGUAUCUCUGUUCGGGAAUAGCAGAUAGAGCGAAGGCUCUGAGAGGAGGGCCAGCGUUUAUGCUACGAAAACAUGACCAAGUGUUUUAACCUGACAGCCUGAGGUGUUCUUCAGUAAACUGGACUACCCGACAGAAGGACCCGAGGCCCUGCUGCACUUUUUCGGAGACGAGUCUGGUGGUGCAGCAGAGGAACAAUUUCAGCCAUUUGGACUCAGCUCAGCCACUACAGUGGAAACAAUGUCUUCAACACAAAAGGACCAACAUGGAGCGAGAAGUCAGCGCUCUCAGGAGGCCG